UGGGGAAUAUUGGACAAUGGGCGCAAGCCUGAUCCAGCCAUGCCGCGUGAGUGAUGAAGGCCUUAGGGUUGUAAAGCUCUUUCACCGGUGAAGAUAAUGACGGUAACCGGAGAAGAAGCCCCGGCUAACUUCGUGCCAGCAGCCGCGGUAAUACGAAGGGGGCUAGCGUUGUUCGGAAUUACUGGGCGUAAAGCGCACGUAGGCGGACAUUUAAGUCAGGGGUGAAAUCCCGGGGGCUCAACCUCGGAACUGCCUUUGAUACUGGGUGUCUUGAGUAUGGAAGAGGUAAGUGGAAUUGCGAGUGUAGAGGUGAAAUUCGUAGAUAUUCGCAGGAACACCAGUGGCGAAGGCGGCUUACUGGUCCAUUACUGACGCUGAGGUGCGAAAGCGUGGGGAGCAAACAGGAUUAGAUACCCCUGGUAGUCCACGCCGUAAACGAUGAGUGCUAGCCGUCGGGCAGUUUUACUGUUCGGUGGCGCAGCUAACGCAUUAAGCACUCCGCCUGGGGAGUACGGUCGCAAGAUUAAAACUCAAAUG
rnacentral:rRNA from 1 species